rnacentral:tRNA from 1 species
GCUUCUUUGGCUCAGUUGAUAGAGCGUUGGGCUGUGGACCAAAGGGUCCUGGGUUCGAUUCCUGGUCAGGGCA